rnacentral:rRNA from 1 species
AUACAGGUGUUGUCAUGGCUGUCGUCAGCUCGUGUCGUGAGAUGUUCGGUUAAGUCCGCUAACGAGCGCAACCCUCGUCGUAUGUUAUAUGUGUCAUACGAGACUGCCGGUAAAAAGCCGGAGGAAGGUGAGGAUGAUGUCAAGUCAGCAUGACCUUUAUAUCCAGGGCUACACACACGCUACAAUGGUCUGUACAAUGGGUAGCCAAGCCGCGAGGCGGAGCCAAUCCUGAAAGCAGGCCUCAGUUCAGAUUGCAGUCUGCAACUCGACUGCAUGAAGCCGGAGUUGCUAGUAACCGCAGGUCAGCAAUACUGCGGUGAAUACGUUCCCGGGUCUU